rnacentral:lncRNA from 1 species
GUUUGGGAGUUCCCGAGGUUUUGGUACAGGUAGGGUUGAGCCCUGAUUAUUAAUUUGUUUUAAGAACAGCUUUUGGUUGAAACUUCUGGAAAUAAUAAGCAGGUAUUCUGACUCUGCAAGCAAACAUGUGGCUAUUUUGUGAUGCGUGUCUACUAACCAGCAUAUUUUAAUGUUCUCAGACACAGGCAUGAGUGAUUAAUAUCUUUAGAAUAAUGUUUUAAUUAACAGCUAAUUUCCUCCAAAACGUGAAUUGUUCUCCCUCGGGAAGCUACACAUGACUGAAAUUCAAAUGCCAAAUUUUAGCCAUUUCUUCAUCUAAAAUGGGACAAAACAACGCAUUAAACAGAUAACAGCAUAAAUGAAAAAUAUUAUUCCCUCGCUCAAUUGAGUUUCUUUGAAUAACAAAUGUUUGAUGUUCCCAAGUAGAUGACAAGUAGGUAAUAAUUAUUCAUUUGCAUGCAAAAGGGGUUCAGUUCCAAACUUCAGUUCAAAUCACACAAACAUGUCCUCCUCCUGGGACAAAUGUAUGCUCGGUACAUACAAUUAAAGGUCUUCAGUAUAACUAUUUAAAAAUCUAAAACCUAUUUCUUCUCAGGGGAUGAACUCAACUGAUCUUUAAAACCCAGUGAGCUGACCUGACCCAUCGGGCCCCUGGGAUGCUUAAGGGGACAGAGAUGAAGAGAGAUCUUUGCCCUGACCUCCUGAAAUAUUUUGUCAGGUCUAUACAGAAAGGUUGCCUUAUAUUAAGUUUAAAAAAACACCUCUCAGCAUUUUUCUUCUGAAAACACGAAUGAAAGACAUUUAAAUUCAUCUUUGAUUAGGCAUUUUUUUCUCUUGGAUGACAAGUCAUUAACUUGAGGCC